AGAUAACCGAAAGUAGAAACGUCCUCCUUAACUGCACAGUGAACAAAAUCACUUGGAACUGAGAGGUACGAGCAUGAGUGUCUUUGUGAGAGACCAGGGGACUGGAUCUGAAGAAAAAGACCAUCUGCAACUGCCAGCCAUUUACACUGCCUUUGGAACUAGAGAGGGACUGUGGAAAAAGGGUGCAAUUGUCCAUAUGAAAGAAAAGAAAAAUAAUAGUCAACCCUCAUCCUUCUCCUACCAGCUCCACUUCCUUCGUCAACGGAAGCAUUUAGUGCCAUCUGUGCCCCCAGAGAAAAGAAAAAAGAAAGUGAGUGAGUGAGAGCCUACAUCCAAGUGCCAAUGGGUACAAAGAGGCUGCCAGUUGCCACGGACCACCAGAUGCUGGAAGACUGAAUGAGGGGUGUGCUUUCAGGAAGCCAUCUUGAUGGAGAAACUGGCUGCUGCUCUCUAAAAUGGCUGUGUUGGCAUGAGCUCCAGGCAAUAAUCAAAAUGUGGGGGAAAAACAUCACUGUCAUCAGCUGCCAGAGAAACCAAGGACAUCUGGCUAUUUUUGACUCAGAUGGUCAAUCACAGCACCUCAGGAAUCCAGCAUAUCUCCCAUAUGGUUCACUGAGAAAUUUAAAACAAGCAGAUAUUUGAGACGGAUCUACAACUUGCACUAAUUGAAUUAACUGAGUGUCUUAAACCUUUUAAGCAAUCACCAAUACCUAAAGGUAGUGAAUGAUUUUGUACAAUGUGUGUGGAUGGGAAGAAAUUCUGACUCUCCUCCCAGUUAAACCUCAGAAGUUAAAGAUAUUCAAACAACGUGUUGUACAAUCUUAUAGACUGAACAGAAUAAUGAUGGAAAGUAAUACUGUGCCUUAAUGUGUGAAAUGUUUACAAUGAAAAUUGCACUUAUUUAAAUAUCUCUCUUGGUAGAUAAUACCACACAAUGUGAAUGACUAAUUUGAGGUCCAUAUUUUAAAUGUAAAUGAAAUGUCUCAUGUUGAAGAUUACAGCCAUAUAAAUAUUUACCUGUGUUAUUUAGAUCGACAGGAAAUUGUAUUUAUACAAUCUGCUAAUAUGUAACGGUGCUUAUUUUUGACAUAGCCUACUUGUUAUUUUGUAUGAUAUAGUGAUGCAUGAAAUAAACACAUU